rnacentral:rRNA from 1 species
AGUGGGGAAUUUUGGACAAUGGGGGCAACCCUGAUCCAGCCAUGCCGCGUGAGUGAAGAAGGCCUUCGGGUUGUAAAGCUCUUUCGGCCGGGAAGAAAUCGCAUAGGUUAAUACCCUGUGUGGAUGACGGUACCGGAAUAAGAAGCACCGGCUAACUACGUGCCAGCAGCCGCGGUAAUACGUAGGGUGCGAGCGUUAAUCGGAAUUACUGGGCGUAAAGCGUGCGCAGGCGGUUUCGUAAGACAGAGGUGAAAUCCCCGGGCUCAACCUGGGAACUGCCUUUGUGACUGCGAAGCUAGAGUACGGCAGAGGGGGGUGGAAUUCCACGUGUAGCAGUGAAAUGCGUAGAGAUGUGGAGGAACACCGAUGGCGAAGGCAGCCCCCUGGGCCGAUACUGACGCUCAUGCACGAAAGCGUGGGUAGCAAACAGGAUUAGAUACCCUGGUAGUCCACGCCCUAAACGAUGUCAACUAGGUGUUGGGUGGGUAAAACCAUUUAGUACCGUAGCUAACGCGUGAAGUUGACCGCCUGGGGAGUACGGCCGCAAGGUUAAAACUCAAAGGAAUUGACGGGGACCCGCACAAGCGGUGGAUGAUGUGGAUUAAUUCGAUGCAACGCGAAAAACCUUACCUACCCUUGACAUGUUCAGAAUCCCGGAGAGAUUUGGGAGUGCCCGAAAGGGAGCUGGAACACAGGUGCUGCAUGGCUGUCGUCAGCUCGUGUCGUGAGAUGUUGGGUUAAGUCCCGCAACGAGCGCAACCCUUGUCGUUAAUUGCCAUCAUUUAGUUGGGCACUUUAACGAGACUGCCGGUGACAAACCGGAGGAAGGUGGGGAUGACGUCAAGUCCUCAUGGCCCUUAUGGGUAGGGCUUCACACGUCAUACAAUGGUCGGUACAGAGGGUUGCCAAGCCGCGAGGUGGAGCCAAUCCCAGAAAGCCGAUCGUAGUCCGGAUUGCAGGCUGCAACUCGCCUGCAUGAAGUCGGAAUCGCUAGUAAUCGCGGAUCAGCAUGUCGCGGUGAAUACGUUCCCGGGUCUUGUACACACCGCCCGUCACACCAUGGGAGCGGGUUCCGCCAGAAGUAGGUAGCCUAACCGCAAGGGGGGCGCUUACCACGGCGGGGUUCGUGACUGGGGUG